rnacentral:lncRNA from 1 species
UACUCUACAGCGGCAGAGGAUCCACCGCGCGGCGCGGCGCCUGCCGAAAGGGUGGCCGCUGCACCUGUGUUGCAGCACCCUGUUCGGCCACCACGUCGACAGCGACCGCGACGGGUGGAUACCCUGACUACGAUGUCGUCGCAGUGCGCCCGCAGCCUGGAACAGGGCGACGAGGUGCUGCAGGUGCUGCGCAGAAUCGAGGCUUCCACAACCCGCCUCGCUGUCGUGGCAGAACGGACGGCAGCAGCCCAGGAGGGGAUCCUGGAACAGGUGCGCG